CAUCCGUCGACAUGCUCCCUGAGAGCGCUCCUCCUUGUGGAGGCAGGAUGCGCUGAGGACUGCGAGCACGCGCGCGUCCCGGUGCCAUCGUGGGUCCCGGCGCCGGAUCCAGACUCCUACAUGCUCCCUUGGCGUCCCUGAUGCUCGCCUGCCGCCUUGCGCCACGCUUGAUGUGCAGAGACCAGCCGGACAUCAUGAUCCUAACACAAAUUGAAGCCAAGGAGGCUUGCAAUUGGCUGCGGACAGCUGGUUUCCCCGAGUAUGCACAGCUUUAUGAAGAUUUCUUGUUCCCUAUUGAUAUUUCCUUGGUCAAGAGAGAGCAUGGUUUUUUGGAGAGAUGCCAUUGAGGCUCUGUGCAGGCAUCUAAAUACUUUAAACAAGGGUGCAGUGAUGAAGCUGGAAAUUAGUCCUCACGGGAAGAGAAGUGAAGAUUCAGAUGAAGAUGAACCUUGUGCAGUAAGUGGCAAGUGGACUUUCCAGAGGGACAGCAAGAGGUGGUCCCAGCUUGAGGAGUUUGAUGUCUUUUGUCUAAAGCCAGGUUCCCCAAAUGAUUAUCACUUGAAGAGUGCUGCAAGUCAUGAGAGCAUGCUGACAGAGCUCAGCGAGCGCCAGGAGGUGUCCUCUGUCCGCAGCCUCAGCAGCACCAGCAGUGUCCCCACCCAUGUGCCCUAUAGCAGAGAUGCUGCAACACCCCCGACUAAUUCCGUUAUCAGUGCCUGCUCCUCCAGCCACUUUGUAGGCAAUGAUGACUGUUCUGCAGCCUGCUUCCCAGAAGGAACUGUCCAGCUUCAGUAUGAAAGGCCAUGAGAAAAACACCCUAAGUCCAAGACGCGAGCCUGCUGAAACGGAUGGAGAGCUUGAAGCUCAAGGGCUCUCACCACAGCAAGCACAAGGUACCGUCCAAGUUGGGGCUGAUCAUCAGUGGGCCCAUUCUCAGGAGGGUAUGAACGAGGAGAAGCUGAAGUAGCUGAACUGUGUAGAGAUCUCAGCCCUCAAUGGCAACCACAUCAACAUGCCCAUGGUACGAAAAAGGAGCUUUUCAAACUCCAUGUAGCCCAGCAGUAGCAGCAGCCAGUCGGAGACAAACAGCACUGUCAGCACACCCAGCCCUGUCACCCGGACACGGAGCCUCAGCACCUGUAACAAGCGGGCGGGCAUGUAUCUGGAGGGCUUCGACCCUUUCAGUCAGCCCACUUUUAAUAACAUGAUGGAACAGAACUUUAAAAACCAAGAGAGCUACCCAGAAGACACAGUGUUCUACAUUUCUGAAGAUCAUAAGCCUGGCACCUUCCCCAAGGCCCUUUCCAAUGGCUCUUUGGGUCCCUCAGGAAAUAACAGUUCUGUGAACUGGAGGACUGGAAGCUUCCAUGGCCCUGGCCAUUGCAGCCUACGGAGGGAAAACAGCGGUGACAGUCCUAAGGAACUAAAGAGAUGCAAUUCUUCUAGCUCCAUGAGCAGCCGCCUGAGCAUCUAUGACAAUAUGCCGGGCUCCAUCCUCUAUUCCAGUUCAGGUGACCUGGCUGACCUGGAGAAUGAGGACAUUUUCCCUGAGCUGGAUGACAUCCUCUACCAUGUGAAGGGGAUGGAGCAGAUAGUCAACUAGUGGUCAGAGAAGUUUUCAGAUCAGGGAGACUCUGACUCAGCCCUAGACUCUGUGUCUCCUUGCCCGUCAUCUCCAAAACAGAUACACCUGGAUGUGGACCACGACCGAACAACACCCAGUGAUUUAGACAGCACAGGCAACUCCCUCAAUGAACCGGAAGAGCCCUCUGACAUCCCAGAAAGAAGGGACUCUGGGGUGGGGGGCUUCCCUGACCAGGUGCAGUAGGCACAGACUGAGAUGGCAUAGCUUCCAGAGGUCUCACUGGCCAAGCUUCAACUCUGUACCUCUGCAGAUUAACUGCCAGUCUGUGGCCCAGAUGAACCUGCUGCAGAAAUACUCACUCCUGAAAUUGACGGCUAUGCUGGAGAAAUACACACCUUCCAACAAGCAUGGCUUUAGUUGGGCAGUGCCCAAAUUCAUGAAAAGGAUCAAGGUUCCAGACUACAAGGACCGGGUAUGUUUGGAGUCCUGCUGAUUGUCAUCAUGCAGUGAUCAGGACAGCCCUUGCCUCAGAGCAUCCAGCAGGCCAUGCAUUACCUUCACAACCACUGUCUGGACCAGGUUGGGCUCUUCAGAAAAUCUGGUGUCAAAACCCAGAUUCAGGCUCUGUGCCAGAUGAAUGAAAGUGCCAUGGAUUGUGUCAACUAUGAAGGGCAGUCUCAUGUUGAAGCAGUAUUUUAGAGAUCUUCCUGAGCCGCUCAUGACAAACUCUCGGAAACCUUUCUACAGAUCUUACCAGUAUGUGCCCAAGAACCAGCGCUUUCAAGCUAUCAAGGCAGCCAUUAUGCUCAUGCCCGAGGUUCUCCAGACGCUUCUCUACUUCUUGAGCGAUGUCACAGCAGUUGUAAAAGAAAACCAGAUGACACCCACCAACCUGGCUAUGUGCUUAGCCCCUUCUCUUUUCCAUCUCACCCUGAAGAGAGAGAAUUCAUCUCCCAGAGUAAUGCAAAGAAAACUGAGUUGGGGCAAACCAGAUCAGAAAGAUCUGAAUGAAAACCUGGCAGCCACUCAAGGGCUGGCCCACAUGAUUGCCGAGUGCAAAAAGCUGAACAAGAGCUGAAGCCCCUCACACUGGAGGUGUUAGGACACCUGAGUAACGAAGAACCUGCCGACUACCGACACUUCCUCCAGCACUGUAUAGAUCGCUUUUAUAAGGCCAUCUCUUCUUUAAAGAGAAGUUCAAAAGCUGGGUCAGCUACUCCAGUUCUGAAUAAGCUGAGCUGUCUUAUAAGAAGGUGAGCGAAGGACCCCCUCUAAGGCUUUGGAGGUCCACCACUGAAGCCCCUGCUCCACCUGAGGACAUCCUAAGGUGCCUCCUGAAGGAGCAGCACCUCUGGGAUGUAGACUUGCUGGAUUCAAAAGUGAUCGAAAUCCUGGACAGCCAGACUGAAAUUUAUCAAUAUGUCCAAAACAGCAUGGCACCCCACCCUGCCCGGGACUAUGUCGUGUUGAGGACCUGGAGGACUAAUUUACCCAAGGGAGCCUGUGCCCUCUUACCUCUGGAUCAUGACCAGGCACCCGUGGUGGGGGUGAGGGUUAAUGUGCUCCUGUCCCGAUAUCUGAUUGAACCCUGCGGGUCAGGAAAGUCAACUCUCCUACAUGUGCAGAGCUGAUCUAAGGGGCCACAUGCCAGAGUGGUACACAAAAUCUUUUGGACAUUUGUGUGAAACUGAAGUGGCAAAGAUCCGAGAUUCCUUCUGUAACCAGAACACUGAAACCAAGGAUACCAAAUCUAGGUGAUUACUGAAGCAAAGCACCUGCAUCGAGUGCCUUGGUGAUUACCUCUAGAGCCUUGCCAGUCCUUGAAAGAGUCCUCUUUGUCGGGGCCUGAAACAACAAUGGAAAUAUUGACACUGACUAGAGCAAUUCGAUAUAUAUUUUAAAGCUCUUCCUGUUUG